rnacentral:rRNA from 1 species
CUCUCCGGGUUGAAAACUCCGGUGGUUAUAGAUGGACAUGCGUUGUAUUAGCUAGUUGGUGAGGUAACGGCUCACCAAGGCAACGAUACAUAGGGGGACUGAGAGGUUAACCCCCCACACUGGUACUGAGACACGGACCAGACUCCUACGGGAGGCAGCAGUGAGGAAUAUUGGUCAAUGGACGCAAGUCUGAACCAGCCAUGCCGCGUGCAGGAAGACGGCUCUAUGAGUUGUAAACUGCUUUUGUACGAGGGUAAACUCACCUACGUGUAGGUGACUGAAAGUAUCGUACGAAUAAGGAUCGGCUAACUCCGUGCCAGCAGCCGCGGUAAUACGGAGGAUUCAAGCGUUAUCCGGAUUUAUUGGGUUUAAAGGGUGCGUAGGCGGUUUGAUAAGUUAGAGGUGAAUCCCGGGGCUUAACUCCGGAACUGCCUCUAAUACUGUUAGACUAGAGAGUAGUUGCGGUAGGCGGAAUGUAUGGUGUAGCCGGUGAAAUGCUUAGAGAUCAUACAGAACACCGAUUGCGAAGGCAGCUUACCAAACUAUAUCUGAC